rnacentral:rRNA from 1 species
UACGUAGGGGGCAAGCGUUGUCCGGCAUUAUUGGGCGUAAAGAGCGCGUAGGCGGUCCGGUAAGUCAGCUGUGAAAGUCAAGGGCUCAACCCUUGAAUGCCGGUUGAUACUGUCGGGCUAGAGUCCGGAAGAGGCGAGUGGAAUUCCCGGUGUAGCGGUGAAAUGCGCAGAUAUCGGGAGGAACACCAAUGGCGAAGGGAGCUCGCUGGGACGGUACUGACGCUGAGACGCGAAAGCGUGGGGAGCGAACAG